ACGCUUGAAGUCAGUCGCGUCAUUCAGGGAUCAACCUUGCUUUUGCUUGGUGUACUUUCUGGUUGACGGGUCAACAUCAAUUUUGACCAUUGGAAAAAGAUUAAGGGAAUGUGGCAUACAUAGUGAUGUGUUAUAGCCCUUGGUUGCAUACAAUGGUUGGGAUUGAGGUACUCAGCACGCCGCAAGGCCAGGUUUACCAUGUACGUGCUUAGGAUGUUGGCAUAAUGGCUUUAAUCGACCCGUCUUGAAACACGGACCAAGGAGUC
rnacentral:rRNA from 1 species